rnacentral:tRNA from 1 species
GGGCCUAUAGCUCAGUUGGUUAGAGCAGCGAACUCAUAAUUCGUCGGUCGAGGGUUCAAGUCCCUCUAGGCCCACCG